rnacentral:rRNA from 1 species
GAUGAACGCUGGCGGCGUGCCUAAUACAUGCAAGUCGAGCGAACAGAUGAUGAGCUUGCUCCUCUGACGUUAGCGGCGGACGGGUGAGUAACACGUGGAUAACCUACCUAUAAGACUGGGAUAACUUCGGGAAACCGGAGCUAAUACCGGAUAAUAUAUUGAACCGCAUGGUUCAAUAGUGAAAGACGGUUUUGCUGUCACUUAUAGAUGGAUCCGCGCCGCAUUAGCUAGUUGGUAAGGUAACGGCUUACCAAGGCAACGAUGCGUAGCCGACCUGAGAGGGUGGUCGGCCAAACUGGAACUGAGACAAGGUCCAGACUCCUAAGGGAGGCAGCAGUAGGGAAUCUUCGGCAAUGGGCGAAAGCCUGACGGAGCAAAGCCGCGUGAGGGAUGAAGGUCUUCGGAUCGUAAAACUCUGUUAUUAGGGAAGAACAAAUGUGUAAGUAACUAUGCACGUCUUGACGGUACCUAAUCAGAAAGCCACGGCUAACUACGUG